rnacentral:ncRNA from 3 species
UGAUCCUUCGAUGUCGGCUCUU